GGGUCGAUGCCCGAGCGGCCAAAGGGAGCAGACUGUAAAUCUGCCGGCAUUGCCUACGGAGGUUCGAAUCCUUCUCGGCCCACCA
rnacentral:tRNA from 2 species